UACGUAGGGGGCUAGCGUUGUCCGGAAUCACUGGGCUUAAAGCGCGUGUAGGCGGGAGGGCACGUCCGUCGCUGAAAUCCCCCGGCUCAACCGGGGAACGGGCGCGGAUACGACCUUCCUGGAGGGGCGUAGGGGGACCUGGAACUUCCGGUGGAGCGGUGAAAUGCGUUGAGAUCGGAAGGAACGCCCGUGGCGAAAGCGAGGUCCUGGACGCCUACUGACGCUGAGACGCGAAAGCCAGGGGAGCGAACGGG
rnacentral:rRNA from 1 species